AAGUCGUAACAAGGUUUCCGUAGGUGAACCUGCGGAAGGAUCAUUACUAAAUCCAAAGUUUGGGGUGCCGGCUGAGCGAUCGGUCUCUCGAGGCCUUUCUGCUCGCUGCCCUCAAAUCUUUUACCUACCCCAAAACCACUGUGCACUGUGAUCAAAGCUCACCGGAAGUCUUAGCUUCUGGUGGCUUUAACCCAUUUUACACGCUUAUGUUUUUUUUAAAACUGUAUUUCAUUUUUCUAUGGUCAGCUUUCGGGCGAUCAUGUAAAAUAAACACAAAUGUUAAUACAACUUUUAGCAACGGAUCUCUUGGCUCUC
rnacentral:misc_RNA from 1 species